AUGGGACUUUUAUCUCCACGUCUAUGCCAUUGCCUAGGUAGUUUCUGUGGUAAACGAAUCCCAAAAAUCAAAAUCCAAUCACAAGCUGAGGAAACUUAGCAACAGAGUGUAUUUGAAGUAAUAUAUAUACAUAUAUAUUUAUAAAUCGGUGUCAAAUAUAUUUUGAAAUUGUGGUAUAUCC